AUUGAACGCUGGCGGCAGGCCUAACACAUGCAAGUCGAGCGGAUGAAGGGAGCUUGCUCCUGGAUUCAGCGGCGGACGGGUGAGUAAUGCCUAGGAAUCUGCCUGGUAGUGGGGGAUAACGUCCGGAAACGGGCGCUAAUACCGCAUACGUCCUGAGGGAGAAAGUGGGGGAUCUUCGGACCUCACGCUAUCAGAUGAGCCUAGGUCGGAUUAGCUAGUUGGUGGGGUAAAGGCCUACCAAGGCGACGAUCCGUAACUGGUCUGAGAGGAUGAUCAGUCACACUGGAAGUGAGACACGGCCAGGACCCAUGAGGGAGGAAGAAGGGGGGAAUAUGGGACAAUGGGCGAAAGCCUGACCCAGCCAUGCGGGGUGUGGGAAGAGGGUCUUCGGAUUGUAAAGCACUUUAAGUGGGGAGAAAGGGAAGUAAGUUAAUACCUUGCUGUUUGGACGUUACCAAAAAAAAAAGCCCCGGCUACCUUCGGG
rnacentral:rRNA from 1 species